rnacentral:lncRNA from 1 species
GUCCGGGUGCGACCGCAGCCGGGCCAGGCCCUGGUGCGGGCGUUCCCGGUGUCACCGUCAUGGCGGCGUCGCUUCUGCUGCGGGAAGGACGGUCCGCGGCGCUGAAGAUUAUGCUCCUCGAAGCACGAGUAUUUCGAGGACUUGCUUCCACGGUUUCUCUCUGUGCAGAAUCAGGGAAGAGCGAAAAGGGACUGCCACCAAAUCCCAAGAAGCAAAGUCCACCAAAAAAGCCUGCUCAAGCCGAGCCAUUCGACAACACCACGUACAGGAACCUCCAGCACCACGACUACACCCCGUACACCUUCUUAGACCUCAACCUGGACCUGUCCAAGUACCGGAUGCCUCAGCCCUCUUCGGGUCGGGAGUCGCCUCGCCACUGAGCUCUCCCCUUGAGAGAGUAAACCUAUCGGUGUCUGGGCUACAGAAAUAAAAUCCGCUCCAGCCAUGAGGCCUGACAUGUAUAAUCAGUGUCCCUUUUACGGGAAACGGUGAAUUAGUUAACACCCAUUUAGAAACAUCUGUGCACAAGGGAUUUUUCUCCCGUGAGCCAGAACCUCAGAAAAUUCUAGGCACUUUCCAUCACUGUGAUCCCACUAUGUCGAGUCCCUGGUCAGUUUAAUGUUAGUCUCCCUUACCAGCUAAGUGUUAAUAAAUGUAAUAAUAACUUCUAAUUUGGUAGAACACAUUCUCGAUAAAGCGAAAGUAGGAGUUUUACUGAUUUUAACUAUGGUACUGCAAAAGAAUUGUAACAUUAAGUUCUAGCACUUUGAACAGAAUCCUUUUGUUCACUUGAAUUCAGGAUUAGAUGUAAACUCAGGGAAGUUUUCAGCAGUGGGAUUAGGGAGCCGUGGAAGUUUUGUAGGGCCCAGCAGAGCAGCACUGUUUCCAGAUGGCCAUGGUGGACUCUGCGCUGUUUUAGCUACAGUUUCUGGGUUGGCUGAGUAACCUUCCAACACUCAUGAUAACGUUACUCACGCGCCUGGGGGCAUAAGUGGUGUGAACAGGCUCAAGUGUGUGUUGGGGGGUGUCUCUGUGCUAGCACCCUGUGGGGACGAAAUAACCGAUUCCUUGGAGGACGUAACAAGUCGAGGUGACGUUACUCCCCAUCGCACAAGUGAAGAUGGAAGCUGGGGCCAUUGGUUAGGGUAGCGCCGCUCAGUUUGGCGGGGAAGGCCGCCCACAAAUCCGUGUCCUUUUCAUGGUUUGCUUUGUUCUCCCACGGCCCCUGUUUAUGGGCCCAAAAGCCUGGGCCUUCUCUCACUACAUUUGGAAUCCAGUCCCUGGCCUCAGUAUGGUGUAUUUGUCAUUAUGGUUCGUGUUUCUGUAAUCCUGCGUUGCUUACAUUGAGUUAGAGCGCCGAGAUUGAACACUACUACUGUGAUCAUCUGCCUCGGGUUUUUUUUUUUUUUUUUUAAGUUUUUUUUUAACUUUUAUUUAUUUAUGAUAGUCACAGAGAGAGAGAGAGAGGCAGAGACACAGGCAGAGGGAGAAGCAGGCUCCAUGCACUGGGAGCCCGACGUGGGAUUCGAUCCCGGGUCUCCAGGAUCGUGCCCCGGGCCAAAGGCAGGCGCCAAACCGCUGCGCCACCCAGGGAUCCCUGCCUCGGGUUUUAUUACCUCCUAGAGGCUUAGCACCUCGGUGAGAUUCUCCUUGUCACAUUUUUAUUAUUAUUAUUAUUAUUAUUAUAAAAGUCCUAAAACCACAUUGCCCAAAAGAAAGGAAAUGAGAAAUACAACUGUGCCAACCCCACCGUGACUAACCUGUCCCAUGCCUGCCCGGUGCUGGGGCUGCGGAUGGAUGGUGCCCUUGGCAGUUUUCUAUCCUGCUGGGUGUUUCUGUGUAAUAGCCAGCUUCAUGAACUAACCACGAGAUCCAUGUGGCAUGUGGGGUUCGCGGGGUGGGGUGGCGUAGGGUGGAGUGCAGAGCUGCGGUGGGUUUCCUCCGACUGCUCCUGCCAUGGGGUCCUGCAACUCUGGAGCGAACAAGAAGUACAAGUAUAUUUCCAUGUGUGUGAAGCUUUUCCCUGGGAACCAGGCCUAUUAGAUUAUCUUCCAGUCUCCAGGAGUUGGCUCCCUCUCCUCUGUCCCCCAGGAAGGCUUGAAAGCGGCCACAAGGGGCACCUGGGGGGCUCAGUCAGUUGGCCACCUGCCUUUGGCUCAGGUCAUGAUCUCAGGGUUUUGGGAUUGAGCCCCAUGUUGGGCUCCCAGCUCAGUGGGGAGUUGGCUUCUCCCUUUCCCCCUGCUGGUGCUCUCUCUGUCCAAUAAAAUUUAAAAAUUAAAAAAAGCCAAAACGAGUGGUGCCAGCCAUGGCUGUGCUUGAAAGACCUGCCAUGGUGCAUCUGCUAGCAGCACAACUGUUGCCCAUGGAGCACAGUUUUCAGAUGUGUGCUAGUGCCCGUGCUCUCUUAGCAAGCACUGCCAGAAACAUUGGUGUGACUAUUACUCAUGUUGUGUUUUGUAUUGUUUCCUUAAGAUGGAUUUCCAGAAACCAGUCUGAUGAAUCACAUGUGAUUCACAAACAUUUGUGUUGCUUCCAUUUCCACAAGGUUUUUACUUUUUAAAAAUUUUUAUUUAUUUUUUAAUAUAUUUUAGUACCUUUUUUUUUUUUAAGAUUUUAUUUUUUUCAUGAGAGAGAGAGAGAGAGGCAGAGAAAGAAGCAGGUCCCAUGCAGGGAGCCCGAUAUGGGACUCAGUCUGGGAACUCCAGCAUCACGCCCUGGUCCAAAGGCAAGCACUAAACUGAGCCACCCAGGGAUCCCCUUUUUUUUAUUUUUAAAAUAUUUUUUAAGAUUUUGUUGACAGAGUGAGCAGGGGAGCUGCAGAAGGAGAGAGAAUCCUCAAGCAGACUCCUCACUGAGCACAGAGCCCAACAUGGGGCUCAAUCUCAUGACAUUGAGGUCACAACCUAAGCCGAAACCAAGAGUUGGACACUCGACCCACUGAGCCAUCCAGGUGUCCCUCCACAAGGUUUUUUGUUGUUGGUUUUUUUUUUUUUUUUCCUCUACAGGGUUUUGAAACCAGUUUAAUAUGUUUGAGUUAAGCAAGGUAAUUAUUGUUUCCUUUUGUGUUUUGCCUGUCACCUGAACUCUAGCAUCCUUCUAGACAUUUGUUCUUUUACACCUGUUAUAAAUAAACACCCUCAGGCUGGAGGGGAUG